rnacentral:lncRNA from 1 species
UGCCAAUCCAAAACCAUAUAAAAAACAAGAAAUUAACUUGGAGAUGCUUUUUAUUUUGUCAUUUGACACUGAUUGAUUACAAUAAGUCCCUUAAAUCAUUUUUCCUUUGCCUAACAGAGUAAAACGGACCAAAAUCAGUAAAUUUCAUCACAGCAUCCUCAACUUUUGAGACAAAAAAAAGUUGCAAACAAGGAAAGAUAUAUAGGCUGACAUGUUAUUGAUUACCCAAACAAAAAACUGCUUAUUUUAUUUCAAGCAGUACAAACUUCAGAAUAUCAUACCUUGUUGUAUAAGCAAAACCAAUGCUGAAGAGUAACAGAUCAAAUAUCUCAGGACCUAAUGAGUAGUAUUUCAUAGUUGCAAACAUGCCAUCAACAUGAGAGCAUUGUGUAAUACAAGAGAAGGAUGAAGUUACAAACAUCUUUCAGUUUUUUACAGGCCAGUUAUCCUUUCAAAAUCUCAACUGUUCAAAAUUUUCCUUAUAGCUCCUACUGCUACAUUUUUAUCCCCUGCAAUAUGCACCUUAAGAUUAGACUGUUUUUUUUUAUCUUGACAUUUACAACACAUAACCUUUUACACAAGUCAUAAGCCAACUAUGUAUUAUUAGGAGCCGUGUGAGUUCAGUUCAUCCCUCUGCGAUGCAUAGCCGGAUUGAAAUUCUUUCUAUUUACUCCAUUCGUCCCAAUUUGAUUAACAAAGUUAACUGUUGUGCACUAUUCACACAUGUUCCCUUGACCUUAUUUUUCUACUAAUAAACAAAUAUAAAUAUUAGCAUAUAAUAUGUUGUUUGAUUUGUCUCAAUGAGUAUUUUUAAAAUAUCAAAUUUUUAUAAUUUUUACUAUUAUACAAUUAAAAAUAUUAAUCGUCAAAGUUAUGCAUUGGCAUGCGUGAAAUAGUCAACUGUGACAAUCAAAUUGGGACGGAGGGAGUAAUGAUCACUUUCAUUUAGAGAGAGAUAAACACAUGAAAUAAAAUAUCAGUGUAUGCUAAGGAAUAAGGAUCUAAACUCUGCAUGGCUUCAGAUACCCUAAUAUUUUGCUAUUUUCUUGGUUUUGAAAGGGAAAUGUAAAAAUAAAUUUCUUAUGCAUGCUCAACUACCCAACAAAAGAGAUAACAGACUUACAGUUGAGAGGGUUCAUUCCAUUGAUUUCUUCCUUUUCUUAUUUUUUUUUUCUCCCUGAGGAUCCAAAAGCUUGGACAGGAACAAAUGUUACCCAUGCAAUGUGAUAAAUGUUUGUGAAGUAAUAGUCAUAAAAUUCCAUUGAGACCAACAUACUACAGUGUGGUACAAGAGAAAAAUAAAUAUCCAACACUCAAUUUCUUCUAUGAAAAAUUUAAAAUCUGUCUUUAGUUUUAGAGAAAAAUAAACCGAAACAACUUAAUUUUUACUUUACUCAAAUUGGAGAUGUGACAAUGUUCAAAUAUAAAAUAAAUUUUCUCGACUUAUUUUUUUCAGAAUCAAAAGUUUUUUAUUUCCGAUAUUUAAAGUUAUUUCAAUUUCUCUA